GAUGAACGCUGGCGGCGUGCCUAAUACAUGCAAGUCGAGCGAAUGGAUUAAGAGCUUGCUCUUAUGAAGUUAGCGGCGGACGGGUGAGUAACACGUGGGUAACCUGCCCAUAAGACUGGGAUAACUCCGGGAAACCGGGGCUAAUACCGGAUAACAUUUUGAACCGCAUGGUUCGAAAUUGAAAGGCGGCUUCGGCCGUCACUUAUGGAUGGACCCGCGUCGCAUUAGCUAGUUGGUGAGGUAACGGCUCACCAAGGCAACGAUGCGUAGCCGACCUGAGAGGGUGAUCGGCCACACUGGGACUGAAACACGGCCCAGACUCCUACGGGAGGCAGCAGUAGGGAAUCUUCCGCAAUGGACGAAAGUCUGACGGAGCAACGCCGCGUGAGUGAUGAAGGCGUUCGGGUCGUAAAACUCUGUUGUUAGGGAAGAACAAGUGCUAGUUGAAUAAGCUGGCACCUUGACGGUACCUAACCAGAAAGCCACGGCUAACUACGUGCCAGCCGCCGCGGUAA
rnacentral:rRNA from 1 species